CAAAAUUCUCACCUACAACAGUCCACCAAUCUUGCGAAAUAUGUCAAUUUUUUUUUUUUUUGGAAAAAUAAUAUACCAACAAAUAUAACGAUUUUAUGCAUAGCAUAAAAAAAUUUAAAAAACCAUCUUAGUAAAUUGUAAAACAAUUACAUUUAUCUCUACACUCAGACUCUAAAAUUAUGAACAUUAUGAACAUUUAAUUGUGAUGGCCAAAAAUCAUGAAUCAUGAAUCGAUUUUAAUACGGGUUAUUUAUUUGGUUUUAAUGUUCAUUACUCGGUUUUAAACCUAGGUAAAAUUAACUUUGACACUUUUUUCCCCCAAUCUUAUUUUCUUAUAACCCGUGACAUCGCAUCACACGAGUUUUGCUAAUUUUUGUACCUAAAGAGAACGUUUGAAAUGUUUGCAGUCAUAUAGAUGUACAUUAAAUGUAGCGAGGACGUGUCAAUUCUAAGAGGAUUAUCGAGUCGUGUGUGGCUAUUAUUGUGAGCCGAUGAUAGUCUUCCGACAAGAGCCCAUCGAACGGUUGGUAUAAUAAACAGUAUGUGCACUGUGUACAUACACAAACAUAUGGACCGUCUGCCACGUCACCGGUAUAGGAGAGAAUUGGCUUUCUC